AUGUGGGGUGGGAGGGCCCAGGUGUUGUUUCGGCUAUGGGGGUUGCAGCCCGCAGGGGUCCCCAGAAGGAGAGUGUUAAGCUGCCAUGUUGCAUCGGAAGAGGGAAGCGGUUAAGCGAGGUGUUGGAACUGCUGCAGCCUCCGGCAGGAAAUGCAUUCUUCUGCCACCAGUGCCGAGCUCUGCAGCCACCAGACCGGACUUACUACUUCAGCCUCAUGGAUUGCAACUGUUCCUUCAGAGUUAACACUACAAAACUCCAGCACAGGUUUCAGCAACUACAGCAUCUUGUCCACCCAGAUUUCUUCAGCCAGAGAUCUCAGACUGAAAAGGACUUCUCAGAGAAGCAUUCAACCCUGGUGAAUGAUGCUUAUAAGACCCUGCUGGCCCCCCUGAGCAGGGGACUAUACCUUGUAAGCUAA